rnacentral:rRNA from 1 species
GUGGGGAAUAUUGGGCAAUGGGGGAAACCCUGACCCAGCAACGCCGCGUGGAGGAAGAAGGUUUUCGGAUCGUAAACUCCUGUCCUCAGGGAAGAGGAGAAGACGGUACCUGAGGAGGAAGCCCCGGCUAACUACGUGCCAGCAGCCGCGGUAAUACGUAGGUGGCAAGCGUUGUCCGGAUUUACUGGGUGUAAAGGGCGUGUAGCCGGGCCGACAAGUCAGAUGUGAAAUCCGCGGGCUUAACCCGCGAACUGCAUUUGAAACUGUUGGUCUUGAGUAUCGGAGAGGUCAUCGGAAUUCCUAGUGUAGCGGUGAAAUGCGUAGAUAUUAGGAAGAACACCAGUGGCGAAGGCGGAUGACUGGACGACAACUGACGGUGAGGCGCGAAAGCGUGGGGAGCAAACAGGAUUAGAAACCCUAGUAGUCC